UGCAAGUCGAACGGCAGCGCGGGGGCAACCGUGGCGGCGAGUGGCGAACGGGUGAGUAAUAUAUCGGAACGUACCCAAGAGUGGGGGAUAACGUAGCGAAAGUUACGCUAAUACCGCAUACGAUCUAAGGAUGAAAGCAGGGGAUCGCAAGACCUUGUGCUCCUGGAGCGGCCGAUAUCUGAUUAGCUAGUUGGUGGGGUAAAGGCCCACCAAGGCAACGAUCAGUAGCUGGUCUGAGAGGACGACCAGCCACACUGGAACUGAGACACGGUCCAGACUCCUACGGGAGGCAGCAGUGGGGAAUUUUGGACAAUGGGGGCAACCCUGAUCCAGCAAUGCCGCGUGAGUGAAGAAGGCCUUCGGGUUGUAAAGCUCUUUUGUCAGGGAAGAAAAGGCUGUGGCUAAUAUCCACAGCUGCUGACGGUACCUGAAGAAUAAGCACCGGCUAACUACGUGCCAGCAGCCGCGGUAAUACGUAGGGUGCAAGCGUUAAUCGGAAUUACUGGGCGUAAAGCGUGCGCAGGCGGUUUCGUAAGUCUGUCGUGAAAUCCCCGGGCUUAACCUGGGAAUGGCGAUGGAGACUGCGAAGCUAGAGUUUGGCAGAGGGGGGUAGAAUUCCACGUGUAGCAGUGAAAUGCGUAGAGAUGUGGAGGAACACCGAUGGCGAAGGCAGCCCCCUGGGUCAAAACUGACGCUCAUGCACGAAAGCGUGGGGAGCAAACAGGAUUAGAUACCCUGGUAGUCCACGCCCUAAACGAUGUCUACUAGUUGUUGGGUCUUAAUUGACUUAGUAACGCAGCUAACGCGUGAAGUAGACCGCCUGGGGAGUANGGUCGCAAGAUUAAAACUCAAAGGAAUUGACGGGGACCCGCACAAGCGGUGGAUGAUGUGGAUUAAUUCGAUGCAACGCGAAAAACCUUACCUACCCUUGACAUGGCAGGNAUCCCGGAGAGAUUUGGGA
rnacentral:rRNA from 1 species